GAUGAACGCUGGCGGCGUGCCUAAUACAUGCAAGUCGAGCGAACGGACGAGAAGCUUGCUUCUCUGAUGUUAGCGGCGGACGGGUGAGUAACACGUGGAUAACCUACCUAUAAGACUGGGAUAACUUCGGGAAACCGGAGCUAAUACCGGAUAAUAUUUUGAACCGCAUGGUUCAAAAGUGAAAGACGGUCUUGCUGUCACUUAUAGAUGGAUCCGCGCUGCAUUAGCUAGUUGGUAAGGUAACGGCUUACCAAGGCAACGAUGCAUAGCCGACCUGAGAGGGUGAUCGGCCACACUGGAACUGAGACACGGUCCUGACUCCUACGGGAGGCAGCAGUAGGGAAUCGUCCGCAAUGGGCGAAAGCCUGACGGAGCAACGCCGCGCGAGUGAUGAAGGUCCUCGGAUCGUAAAACUCUGUUAUUAGGGAAGAACAUAUGUGUAAGUAACUGUGCACAUCUUGACGGUACCUAAUCAGAAAGCCACGGCUAACUACGUG
rnacentral:rRNA from 1 species